CGGUGAACAGAAGCGAGAAGAGAACGGAGAGAAGAAGCGCGGGUGUUCCUCGCCGGAGAGAGCUAUAAUAGCACGAAACAUAAUCCCCGGGUGAAUCUAACGAGUCCUGUAAGAGCGAGCUGGACCAACGAGGGAUGAAGAAGAUGGUGUGAGAGACGAGUAAGGAUACGUGACUGCAGGACGAACAAGAGGAAGGAAGAUAGUCGAAAGAGUGUAAGAUUGAAAGUCAGAGAGGAAGAGGGGAAAGCGGUUCGGCGCCUCUCCGAUCAUUCUUCAGUCUAGCGCAACGACUCAUCGGCUUUUUUUGCCGCUGCGGCUCCGAAGAGACGUUCAAAUUGCUCUAAUGGCGGACCAAAGAGGAAAGUUAUGCCCGACAGAAAAAAGAAUUACGGUAUUUGGUUCCAAAAUGCGUGACACAGUCCUCACUUCGUUAUAAGAAAAUUAAUUCUCAAAAACAUCUCACAAUCAAGAUUAAAUUAUACAGCUGCCAGCUGGAGCCUAAGUAACUCUACAUCUUAGAGAUAAUAUUCGUAACAGAGUUUCUUAGAAACGAUGACUGGUGCUUUACAAGCAGCAAGAACUUGACACAGCUUAUGCAACAUCUCGUUUAAUGUCGAGAGUCACAAUUCGAUUAAACUUAAACAAGGCCGAUCUAUGUAAAUGGAAAAUUUCAGAUACCAAA